rnacentral:piRNA from 1 species
UCUCUGAAACCUCCAGCAUUUGUGCCC